UAAAGAUGUUGCCAUUGGAA
rnacentral:piRNA from 1 species